rnacentral:rRNA from 1 species
GACGAACGCGGCGGCGUGCUUAACACAUGCAAGUCGAACGGGUCUGCCUUGUUUUUUGCGGGGUGGGUUAGUGGCGAACGGGUGAGUAACACGUGAGUAACCUGCCCCUCACUUCUGGAUAACCGCUUGAAAGGGUGGCUAAUACGGGGUGUUCUGGCUGUGCCGCAUGGUGUGGCUGGGAAAGAUUCACUUUUGUGGUGUUUUGGUGGGGGAUGGGCUCGCGGCCUAUCAGCUUGUUGGUGGGGUGAUGGCCUGCCAAGGCUUUGACGGGUAGCCGGCCUGAGAGGGUGGGCGGUCACACUGGGACUGAGAUACGGCCCAGACUCCUGCGGGAGGCAGCAGUGGGGGGUAUUGCACAAUGGGCGGAAGCCUGAUGCAGCGACGUCGCGUGAGGGAUGGAGGCCUUCGGGUUGUGAACCUCUUUCGCCGGUGAAGAGGGUCCUGUUCUUUGUGGUGGGGCUGACGUAGCCGGGUU